AGAGCGCAACCUUGCCAAGGUUGAGGUCGCGAGUUCGAGCCUCGUUUCCCGCU
rnacentral:tRNA from 1 species